GGGCUUGACUGGAAUUGACAGCGAGUAAAAUUGGUAUGUAAGCAUGCAGAGCUUUGUAUGAGUAGCUCUUUAAUCUGAACAUACAACAAUCUAAUUGGCGAAAAUAACUACGCUCUUGCUGCUUAAUCGAAUAACAGUAGAUUAGCUUAAUUUCGGUACAAGGUGCUGAAACAAGACAUCUCUCAAAUGCCCACUCCUUGAGGCGGUUUGAUAUAGAGGUGCUAACUAAAUCAGGGAUAGCUUAUCAUCGCCUCGUAUGGUAAGUGAAAAUAAAGAGGAUAAGGUUGUAGUUGGUGGUUUCGGUCUUGCUACAACACGAAAAUAAAAGCGAAAAUAAGCAUGUAGAAAGCGUAUUAAUUUCUUGUUUGGACGAGGGUUCGACUCCCUCCAGGUCCACCA
rnacentral:tmRNA from 2 species